CAUUAUGUCAUCAUUGACUUGAUGGGGACGCCCGCUUUAUUCAUUCUAUUUCUAUGGCAGCGCAUGCAGUCAGGACCAGCGGAGAGUAGAAAAUCAUUAGCAGCGCGGUGGAGGGCACCAAUGUGAGUGGUGUGAUCCCUCGUGAACUUUACACCAGUUACAGUGACCUGACUGUGUUGGUCAAAGCUGCGAACCAGCAUGGCUCUGCCAUGUCUACAAUGGCUGCCUUCAACACUGGCGAUAUCAAAAAGCCACCCACCCCUGAAAUCACUCACUAUUGCCCUCAGCCUCUGGAGAUCUACUGGGUUGUGCAGUGUGAGGAUCAAGGCAGCUCUGACCAACUCUGUGAGGUCCAGUAUCGUACCCAGGACCAGCAGGGCUGGACUCAGGUGAGUGAGCUGAGCAUGGCUGGGGUUUUGUUCCUUUCCCCAAGUGUGCACUUGUUCACUUCCAUUCAUGGAUUUAAAGUAAAAUGACCGGUAUAAGAAAUAUGUUGGAAACUCCCUCCCGCCCAAACCUACACCAAUCCAAUGCGGGGAGUACUGUGCACUUCAGGACAGAAGACAGGGUAUUUUGGGAGCGGUCGAAAUGUACCCAAUGAUGUUUUUUCAAUUUCAGUUGGGGAGGGUUUAGUAUUUUUUAUUUAAUCCAGGGGAGGAUCAUGUAAUUUGUAAUCGAUUAAAUGUCAUAUUGAGAAUUAGUUGCUUAUUAUAUCUCGAUGUGUGGGCUCGAUGCUGCCCCUCAUCCCUGAUUCUCUGCUGGGCGCGCAAUAUCAAGUGCCACUAGUAUGGUCUCAAUCAAAUGAUCCAUAGCCUAUGCUAUAGGCCUAGGCUAUACGAAGAGCAUGCUUMGAGAAGCACAGGGCAAAGUUAUAUUUUUAAGAAAAUGUACUUUUUUUCCUGAGUUUAUCUGCUGCUGGGAUGGUCUAUAUUAACUAGCCUACACUGCAUUACACACACGCGCGGACUAGGCCUACUGAUGUCCUGUUCAGUUUGAGAGGGAGAGUGCAAAGAUGAGGAGGACUGGAGGUUAGCUUGCUACUGCUAUAAUUGAUUUUAAUAAAAACAAUAUGUUUCGUUUCCCAUAAUGAAGGUAUUUAUCAGAGUUAUUGACCUCCAAAUAAGCRAUAUUCAAGUAAUUUACACAGAUUAUUUGGGACCAAUUAGGUUAUGAAAAUGAGAAAAAAAUACUUUGAAUUAAAA